rnacentral:rRNA from 1 species
CAGCAGCCGCGGGAAUACGUAGGUGGCAAGCGUUGUCCGGAAUUAUUGGGCGUAAAGGGCUCGCAGGCGGUUUCUUAGGUCUGAUGUGAAAGCCCCCGGCUCAACCGGGGAGGGUCAUUGGAAACUGGGAAACUUGAGUGCAGAAGAGGAGAGUGGAAUUCCACGUGUAGCGGUGAAAUGCGUAGAGAUGUGGAGGAACACCAGUGGCGAAGGCGACUCUCUGGUCUGUAACUGACGCUGAGGAGCGAAAGCGUGGGGAGCGAACAGGAUUAGAUACCCGCGUAGUCCCUGUCUCUUAUAA